rnacentral:misc_RNA from 5 species
UAGAGUUUUCUAAACUCCCAACCCAUGUGAACUUACCUUUUGUUGCCUCGGCAGAAGUUAUAGGUCUUCUUAUAGCUGCUGCCGGUGGACCAUUAAACUCUUGUUAUUUUAUGUAAUCUGAGCGUCUUAUUUUAAUAAGUCA